UUAACCUUCAGGCGAAGGCCAAACGAAUGUGAAAUAGUGGAGCGAGGCUCAUGCUCCAAUACCCCUCCCCAAACCUCCCAUCAAACAUGACCUUAGGCUAUUCCUUCCACCGGAGCACCGUCUUCGAGUUAUUCGCCGUUGAAUUCGAUAUCUCUGAAUCCAUUCAUUCAUUCAUUUUUCCACAUCCCUAAUCGCAACCACGUUGGAUUGGAGAUCGAGACAAGCCGAUUUGUGCUUUUCUUCGAGUUCUCAUACCUACCCCCAUUGAUUGAGAUAUUCUUCGCAGAAUCGAAUGUGAGUUUCGAUUUCCCAUUCUAUCCAAAACCCCUUCGUUUUAUUUUACAACCUGACUUGGGGAAACCCUAGAGGGUAAGAACAAGUUCGACAAAGCCCCGGUAAAUUUUCUAUUCAAUAUCUUCAAUUAUUUGAUUUGUACUCUUCGAUUUUCCUACUUAUUGGUUUCUUACUGUUCGUCGUAUAAUAUUUACUAGAACUAGAAUUGUGUGUGCAAUAAUAUGUUGAAUUGAAAAUUGGGUGUAUAGUAUAUAUAUGCUUUGUCUAAGUCUUGAAAGAAACCACUAGUACACUUUACCAUGGUUAGAAUAGAAAAGUAAAGUGGGAGGAAGAUCAUUAAAUAAUAAAAUGAAUAUGAGGCUAUUUUUGACAUUUGAUUCAAUUUUUGACUUUGACUUAGAACUUUUGCAUUGCCCACCCUCAAUUUGGGAGAGUGUGGCACACAUUCCAUUAUGUUUAACAUAAAAACUAACCAUAGCACUUUAGUCCAAAACCAUAUGAGAGUUUUCUGGCUAUAUUUGAACCAUAGGGGAGUAAAGUGCUCUGAGGCCAAACCACAAGACGGUGAAGUGAAUUUUGCCCUUAUUCUUAUAAAUUUUUUUUUCGAGAUCGCAAUAUAUAUAGCCUAUAUAUAUAACAUAUACAAAUUAAUAUAGUUUACAGAUACAUACUAUAUAUACAAAUAUAGGUUUUAUAAACUUAUUGGAUAUAUGUUUUAUAGGAAAUUCUAUAAUUACAAAUUUAUAUAGAAUAUAUACAACUUUAGGUUUUAUAUAUACUGUAUAUAUAUAUAUAUAUAUAUUUCCUUAAAAGACAACAAUUUAGGUUAUGAAUGUAAUUUAUUAUUAUAGAAUUAUUAUUCACAAGGAAAAUUAUUUUCAUUUUUUUAAAUUUCUGAAUCUUUAGGUUUCAUAAACAUAACAUGGAUUUGAAUGUACAUAUUGGGUUUGAAUAUAUUUCAAAUUUUGGAUUUCUGAAUUUUCAAAAUUAUUACACAAAUCUAGGUUUUAUAUACAUUUUUUUUUUUUGGAUUUAUGAAAAUUUGUAUAUAAUUAUUUGAUUGUGGUGUUCAUAUGCAGUGUGCUUGUCUUGCUUUUGCAACUCAAUUUGGUUGCCUUCAUGAUUGAGUCGAUUGUGUUAUGAUUGUUGCAAAUAUUUGGUGGAUUAGGUAGUGAUGCAAGGUGUUGGUGAAAAAGAGUUGUGGGGAGGCUAGUGUGUGGAGAUCGUAUUAGAGCAUCUUCAGUGGGAUAGCUAAAUUUGUGUGUUAAAGUAUGUAUGUGUUGUAUGACACAAAGUGAUAAAAGUAAGAUUCAUUUGUGUUUAUUUAGUGUUUGUCAUUUCAAGAGUAAUGGUGUAUUCCAAUUGUGUAGUUAGGUGUGUUAAAGUGUGUUAUGUAUGAGUGAGACUCACCAAAAUAUAUAAAUAUAUAUUUAUAUUUUAUAGUUAUAAAUAUAAAUUGAAAAAAAAGGUAGUAAACUGAGAA